rnacentral:rRNA from 1 species
AUUGAACGCUGGCGGCAUGCCUUACACAUGCAAGUCGAACGGUAACAGGUCUUCGGAUGCUGACGAGUGGCGAACGGGUGAGUAAUGCAUCGGAACGUGCCCAGUUGUGGGGGAUAACUGCUCGAAAGAGCAGCUAAUACCGCAUACGACCUGAGGGUGAAAGCGGGGGAUCGCAAGACCUCGCGCAAUUGGGGCGGCCGAUGUCAGAUUAGGUAGUUGGUGGGGUAAAGGCCUACCAAGCCGACGAUCUGUAGUUGGUCUGAGAGGACGACCAGCCACACUGGGACUGAGACACGUCCCAGACUCCUACGGGAGGCAGCAGUGGGUAAUUUUGGACAAUGGGCGCAAGCCUGAUCCAGCAAUGCCGCGUGCAGGAAGAAGGCCUUCGGGUUGUAAACUGCUUUUGUCAGGGAAGAAAUCCUCUGGGUUAAUACCCCGGGGGGAUGACGGUACCUGAAGAAUAAGCACCGGCUAACUACGUGCCAGCCGCCGCCGUAACAC